AACGAACGCUGGCGGCAUGCCUAACGCAUGCAAGUCGAACGAGACCUUCGGGUCUAGUGGCGCACGGGUGCGUAACGCGUGGGAACCUGCCCUUAGGUUCGGAAUAACUCCCCGAAAGGGGUGCUAAUACCGGAUAAUGUCUUCGGACCAAAGAUUUAUCGCCUUUGGAUGGGCCCGCGUUGGAUUAGCUAGUUGGUAGGGUAAAAGCCUACCAAGGCGACGAUCCAUAGCUGGUCUGAGAGGAUGAUCAGCCACACUGGGACUGAGACACGGCCAGACUCCUACGGGAGGCAGCAGUGGGGAAUAUUGGACAAUGGGCGAAAGCCUGAUCCAGCAAUGCCGCGUGAGUGAUGAAGGCCUUAGGGUUGUAAAGCUCUUUUACCCGGGAUGAUAAUGACAGUACCGGGAGAAUAAGCUCCGGCUAACUCCGUG
rnacentral:rRNA from 1 species